rnacentral:tRNA from 1 species
CCGUAGCUCAGCUGGAUAGAGCAACGGCCUUCUAAGCCGUGGGUCGCAGGUUCGAAUCCUGCC